rnacentral:rRNA from 1 species
UACGGGGGAUGCGAGCGUUAUCCGGAUUUAUUGGGUUUAAAGGGUGCGUAGGCGGGCUGUUAAGUCAGCGGUAAAAGCCCGGGGCUCAACCCCGGCGAGCCGUUGAAACUGGCUGUCUUGAGAUGUCGAGAGGUAUGCGGAAUGCGCAGUGUAGCGGUGAAAUGCUUAGAUAUUGCGCAGAACUCCGAUUGCGAAGGCAGCAUACCGGCGGCGAUCUGACGCUGAGGCACGAAAGCGUGGGUAUCGAACAGG